GGGGACUGCUGGCGUGCGCGAGCGAGGGAUCGCGCGACGAUUCCCUCCUGGGGGACACCCCCGCCCCCCCCCCCCCACACACUGACUUGCGCUUGCGUUUGUGACUUUUCCCCCGUGACUUUGAAUUGGGGAUGUAAUUGAGGCCAGCACUGAUUACUCGAAGGCAACGCUCAGCACAUCUGCCGCGCCUGUGGAUCACAGGGGUGACCUCAGACCUGGUCACCUCGGACUGAAAGGCUCUAACGUUCUCACGGGUUACGGUUCACAGUGCCCCAGGGCUUGCGCGAUCUCGUUUGAUUCUCUGAGCAUCCCUGUGAGGUGGGAGUGGCCCGGCAAAACUAUCAUCCCCGUUUAAAGAUGAGGACAUUGAGGUUCAAAGAUGAGGAGUUGCCCAGGGUUACUGUUGACUGGUGACAGCGUCCGGAUUCGAACCUAGGUCUUCUUUUCCCGGACCUGUAUCCUUUCCAGUAUAUCCUGCCAUCUCAGAAAUGGAGGGAGAAAGUUCUUCCCUUCUGCCCCCAGCCGGAGCCUAGCCCAGCAGGGUCCCAUGGAAUGAUGCACAUCAGUCCUUGGGGGAAACUUCCCCCAGCCAGGUCCAUCUUAACAUUCCUUUUUCCUCUCAUCGCUUGGGGAGCGGUCUAUGAGCAGAAAGCAGGAAAGGAAGUGCCCUGCCCGAGCCCCCUGGCCCACCUCCCACCAGAGGGAAUGCACGCCCUGUGAACACCAAAGAGAAGGUGGCCCUGGAACUAAACAGUGGCACCCAGGACCCUGGAUUGCACAUCACAGAACCUUCCUGAACACAUACCCACUAGGGUAUUUUGCUUUCUGCUUUGACAGCUCUUUCUCACCCAGAUCACACGCUUUUUUCUUUUUUAAUUUCCUUUUCUUUCUCCCUCCCUCCCUAUAUUGAUCCCAGCCCCCUUUUACUUUUUCCCACCCACAUUCAUAUUUUUUCAUAUCUAGGUUCUUCAGGGUAGAAAGAGAUCUGCUUAAGGUAGCUCCAGAAUGGGCAUCUGUGCCAUCCCAUAGUCCUUCUACUGUUCUCCUGUUGGCAACCUUGAGGCCAUUUUCACGGGAAGAUGGGCUGUCAUUCCAGAGGCACCUCAUACCCAAACCAGAGGGACAGGGAUGGCUGCAGACGGCUAAGAGCCAUCCCAGCCUGGGUCAUUUCCAGUUUCGCUUUAUAAAUUGCCUCAAAAGAAUUUUCUUUCAAUGAUACGAAUCCCCAUUCCUUUGGGGUCCGCAGGUGUCACAUAUAGAAAAGGAGCAGAAAAGGGAGAAGCGGGGCGCCUGGGUGGCGCAGUCGGUUAAGCGUCCGACUUCAGCCAGGUCACGAUCUCGCGGUCCGUGAGUUCAAGCCCCGCGUCGGGCUCUGGGCUGAUGGCUCGGAGCCUGGAGCCUGGAGCCUGUUUCCGAUUCUGUGUCUCCCUCUCUCUCUGCCCCUCCCCCGUUCAUGCUCUGUCUCUCUCUGUCCCAAAAAUAAAAUAAACCUUGAAAAGGGAGAAGCA
rnacentral:lncRNA from 1 species